rnacentral:lncRNA from 1 species
AGCACGAAGGAUGCCCGUGCAUAUUUUAUUAUAUGAUUGCUCUGGUGAGGAUGAGAGUAAAAACGUGAAGGGUGAUACCGUGUAUUUAUUGAUUUUCUAGGAUUCUUUGUUGAUAUCUGAGUUCUAUUGUUUCUCUCCUUUACUUGUUGUCAUUAUAUUUGAGAUCGAUAUCUCCCCCGCAGCAUGCUCCCUCUCCCAGACUUGACUGUUUAUUUCUGUAUUUCUUUUUCGCUGUAUAUAUUUGAAUUGCACAUGUUUAAUUAGUAUUCUGGUCCUAUCCUCGUUAUUACUUCGCCGAGGUUAGGCUAGGCACUUACCAGCACAUGUGUUGGUUGUACUGAUACUACACUCAGCACUAUAUGCAGAUCCCGGAGCAACUCUUGGACCGUAAUUUGGAGGCUACAUUCAGUCUAUGCGGAGAUCCAAGGUAGACCUGCAGGUGUUUGCAUGCCCUGGCGUCUCCCUCUAUCCUUAUUUCCUGUUUUAUUUUCCUUAUAUUCAUAAACACUAUAUUGAUAUUUUCUUCAAACUUUAUAUGUAGUAAAUCUUAGACCGUCUGUGACACUGUGACACCAGGUGUUGGGGUGAUUAAUGCUUAAGCAGUUGUGAUAGAUGUAGAUUUCAUAUAUGUUAUUGUUUUCUUUCGCUUAAUUUAAAAUUUCCGUUGUUUAUAUGUUAUCGCUUUAUACUUAUUAAAAAGGAAAUAAAUAAAAAAUGUAGUUAUUACUUUAA